rnacentral:rRNA from 1 species
CCUACGGGUGUCAGCAGUGAGGAAUAUUGGUCAAUGGACGAGAGUCUGAACCAGCCAAGUAGCGUGAAGGAUGAUGGCCCUAUGGGUUGUAAACUUCUUUUAUCAAGGAAUAAAGCGAGGCACGUGUGCCUGUCUGCAUGGACUUUAUGAAUAAGGUUCGGGUACAUCCGUGACAGCAGCCGCGGUAAACCGGAGGAUACGAUAUGUUACCGGAUUUGUUGGGGUUAAAGGGUGGGGAGAGGGGUUGUUAAGUCAAUUGUGAAAGUUUCCGGCUAAAGCGGAGAAUUGCAAUUGAUACUGGCGGUCUUGAGUACAGUUGAGGUAGGCGGAAUGCGUGGUGUAGCGGUGAAAUGCUUAGAUAUCACGCAGAACCCCGAUUGCGAAGGCAGCUUACUAAACCGUGACUGACGUUGAUGCACGAAAGUGUGGGUAUCAAACAGGAUUAGAUACCCUUGUAGUC